GCGGCGGUGCCAUGGCGACGGGCGGCGCGUUCCCUCAGGAGGCGGUGCUCGUGGGACGCGUUGGCGCUGACCGCUCGGUCGGAGCGUUGCGCUGAGGGAAAAGAGCAAAUCCGUGCUUUCUCAACAAACCGAAAUAGUACGACAGCAUCUUACAGGUGCUCCGGUUUUGACGCACACACAGCUUGCUGGGUCUGACAGCUCAAUGUACUGCGCUCAGGAAUUCAGUUCCCAGAGUGAAGUCCAUGAAGGAGGCAUCCAUAGUGUGUGCGUGCCAACAGGAAAAGCCUGGUUACUAUCAGGCUAUGUAAAAGAUGUUGCCUGUGAGUCCACACAACAUGACAGACAAUGCUUUUUUGAAGGCACUUCUGCAUUGUGAGAUGAGCUUCUGGCUGAGCCAGACGGAGGUAGGUGAAACUGCAAUUCAGCCAUGCAAUAAUGAAUUACAGCAGAAGCAUCACUGUGAAUUGCCCACUUGUUUGAUGCAUGUUUUCAAACCACUGUAGAUUCUGAUGUGUCUUCAAACCAAAACAUGCCAUGCUUGGUUAUUCCUUCUGCCACUGGAACUAAAUCUGGCUAUAAUCAAAGUUCACUUUUUUUUUGUUUUGUUGCUUUCCUAGCAAAAUAGGCAACUUAUAUUUGCUGGCAUAAUAUCAGUUAGCUAAAUAUGGUUACCUUAAGAAGAAAUCGUUAUAGAUUCAAAUUUUAUCUGCAGAUGCAGCCAUUCCCAAAAUUGCAUAGUUCAGAUUGAGUUCCUUUUGUUAAUAUCCUUCAGUUACAUUUUCACAUUGUGGCUUUAAUCAGACACAGAUGCCAUGAAAUGCCAUGCACCUGUCUGUGUGCAUCAGAGAACGUAUGUGUUUCUAUAGUCAGAAUGAGACAGAACAAUGCUGGGAGGAUUAUCCUUAUUCUUAGGUCAGGCUCUAAGAGUAUUUUUACUUCUUGAAGCUGAGAAACUGGUGAAGGUAACUAGAGUCUUGAUAAUCUGCACUACAAGAAAACAAACCUAACAGUUCAUCAUAUAAUAGCUUGUUAUUGUUGUUAAUUCCAGCUUUCCCACUUUGCAGUCCCUGCCAAUGAACUUAAAUUGGCUUAAUCCUGCUAGGAACCAAACUCCUCCUGCAUUACUGAAACCAGUGUGCUAAAAUCAAUGGUGGAUGAAAACAUUCAUAUUGCAGGAUAAAGCUUCAAGUUUAAAACAAACUAAUUAGAUCUCAUAGGUAAAAUCAUUGUAGCUUUAUUGAUUGAACUGGCCCAACACUUGCAAACGGAGAUAUUAAAAGUCACUUCUUUUGAAGUGCUUCCAUUGGUUAAUUUGAAAAGCAGAUAAAUCUUUUGCUAAGGGGACAAGAUUAAUCCUCUGAUUGAAGGGUUAGGAGCAGCUUCCUCUGUGUAGGAUAUUUUGGUAACUCCAGACCACAGUACUGCUUACUAUUGAGCUGCCUCUGCUCAUUUACGUCUUGCUCAAGAGGUAGAGACUGGAUGCUAAGCCAGAUGGCCCUCCACCUGAGUGAACUGCUGUUGGACAACUCUGCAUUUUCUGUGAGAUCAGAGUGGACAUUUUAGUAUAGGAUUCACAUUCAGAAGUAGGUACAUAGAAAUGAUGAGCAUUCUGUGGAGGUGCUUCACCUCCCUUGGGCCUUCAUUUUCCAGUUUAACAAAAGCAAUAGUAGUACUGACAGCCCUGACUAAAUGCAGAUAUGUGUGUGUUCAUAUGCAACAGAUUUUGCUUCUUGAAAAUUUUAGGCUGUGUUCCAACAGUGUCAAACAAGCAGUUUCCCCAGGUACUCACACUUCUCAGGCUACUGGGCUUGAUUUUGCAUUUGCUCACAAUACCCAAAGUAAGUGGUUGUCCUGUCUUAUUGCAUGCCUGGGAAGGGCUAAGUCCACUUUUCUUACCAAAGCAGGUGCCAGAAGCACCCAGAAGCAGGUGCUUUCAGCUGAACAGUUCCCCAGGUAACUGUGGACAAAGGUAGCAGUAAGAACUUCAUUGAGCAGGACUUGAGAUAAGAUGCCAUCAGCUCAUUACUCACUGCUUUGUCAAAUGCCUGUGGCUGCACUAAUCAUUAUGUAAAUGGCAAUGCCUUAAAAUGAUAUUUGAUCUCAGAACUGGGCAGGAGCAUUAAAGUCUUUGUGCUCAGCCUCACUAAGGGGUGCUCCUUCUGUACAAGUCUCCAGGGUCAGAAAAAACAGCUGCAGAAAGGCAGCCUUCUUCUGCAGUUUAACUCUUGUGCACUUUCUUUUUUCAGCCUCUAUAAUACCAAAGGGUUUCCACAGACAACCAUGAAAUGGCAGCCUUUCACAGCGGAUUACUAGGUGCUCACAUGUUGUUAGGACAUCAGCAGACCUGUGGAAAUAUUGGAACGCUUAGGACCACUGAGCACAUUCAGCCUGCUCAGUCAAUUGUUUGUACUGAUCAGCUACAACACGCUCCCCAUAGCACUUGGGAAAAGACUCAGGCUGCCUCUUAUAAUAGCAUCACUUUGAAAGAAGUGGUUGAACUAAAGUUGAAAUAAGAGGGUUUUUAUUCCUUUAUUUUACUUAUCUUUCCUCUUUAGAGAAAAAGCAGUUUAAAGCUAAACAAGAAUUCACCUUCAGAAACCUCCACCUUCCCCUAUAGGUCUGCAUGCUGCUCACACUUACACUAAAGGUAACUCAGAGUGACUUUAUGUUAUCCUCUUGGUACCGUGAAAAGAUAUACUUUAUUGCAAUAGUAUUUAGAUGGCACAGCCAAGAUCUGGACCACAGAGGGCUAAGUACUAUUUGCUAAACAAAUAGGAAAUGAGGCACGGUUCCCCACAGGGCUUGCAGUAUAUAUAGACAAAGUCAAAGGGGAUGAAACAGCAUUAUCUCAAGCUUACAGCUGGGGGACUCCAAUCCAGAGGAAUUAUAUUAGCUCACCCAGGGUCACACACAGGAAAUCUGUGGCAGAGCUGUAAAAUAAAACAAGAACUACUCAGUCCCAGAGAAAUACACCAGGCACAGCAGAAUGUUUCAACUCACAGCAGUAGAGGUUUUAGAAAGCUACCAGGCCUGAGCACUCCUUACAGACUGUGGGAACUGCAUCAGUUGUGCCUCAACCACACUCGCUGCUACAAGGACACAGCUCUUUGUAAGCAUCACUGCAUUCUUUCUGAAAUAACACAUAUAAAGAUGGGAUGUUGUGUAUUUACAUGAUUCUCUCUCAUGUGCUGUAUGCCUAGACAAUCUGCUUUCCAAUUAGCUGUGCAUCUGCUGCUCCAGGCAUGUUGGCAUGUACUGCUGCCCUCUCGUGUAGACCUCGUUGUAAUUGCAGUGAUUUGAUUGAGUCAAAGGGGCAAGAUUACCCAGUGCCCGGCAUCUAGUGAAAUCUUACACGCCAACAUUCAUCUAAUGGACAGACAGCCUUACCUUUCUCGUUUAGCUGUGUCUCUGUCUCAUCCACUCUCAUUUUGAUCAUGAGACAAGCUACAUACAGUGGAGAAUCCAGGUCAUAUUCGUGGCAACCACGAUGCAGAUUUUUUAGGUCAAGGUAACAGUUAAGACAACAUUACAGCAGUGGUGGUGUAGUUAAAAGAUGGCUGGUGCUCUUGGGUUUUUCAUCAGCUUUCCAGAAAGGCAGUUCUAUCUCAAUGAUCAAAGUUCUCCUCAGGUUAAUUCUGACUGUGCAAGUCAAAUAAUCUUUUCUCACACAUAGCAUUUGAUCAAAAGGAGCUUGGUGAAUCUAGUACAAGGGAUAUAUUAUUGCAGGCUGUGACACGUAUCACUAUACGUGUUAUUAAGAAAUUCCAGUUAUUCCCCAUUUAAAGGCUGGCCUGCAUUUUAUUUUAACAACAGCUGCUGAUGGUAUCCAGUGGUACUGCAUCACUGCCUCUAAAGCUGGAUGGUUUCCUUCACCCUCCAUCACACAGGUCACAAAAGAGGCUGAAGGGCAAAUUAGCAAGUUAUAGACUUUUUCAUUGGUGCACAUCUUCCAUCACUCCUCUCUUCUCCCCCCACCCCCCUUUUUAAAAAUUAUUAUUAUACCAGCAGUCUUCCCUUUAAAAAUAGCUAGGCAGCUACAUAUUGGCACUCAUCCAAUUCAUUGGAUACAGGGUUUUUUUGUGGGGGUUUUUUUGUGGGGGUUUUUUUGUGGGGGUUUUUGUUGUUGUUGUUAUUUGUGUUGGUUUUCAAGCCCAGCAUGAGCUCCUCUGAAGAUCUUUUUCAAACUUGUGUUCAUUAAAAAGAAAUUACAGAAAUUUCUGCUGUUGAUGCCCUGUGCCUGGAGACUUUCAAGGCAAGGCUGGAUAAGGCCCUGCACAACUUGAUCUAGCUGUAGUGUCCUUGUUCAU